CCAACAACCUCCAUACCACCAUCCUCCAUACCACCAUACUCCGACCAUCAACCACUACUUCUGCUCACGACCAUCGCCGCCAGCCCGCCGCUUCGUUUCAGUCCAACUAAAUAACCAAAUUAGACUGCAUUCGGUCGAGCCUAACAAUAACUUCUGCAGCGAUUUAGGUUAUCACUCCAUCGUAUCUCACUGCAGCGAUUGUUGCGACGAUCGGUUGUUCUCUUGAGGCCAUCAAUUUGUUAAAUCAUACCAAAAGGAGAACCAGAGGGGUGGAUUGGGUCCAAUUGGCAAAGUAAUUGGAGAUUGAAGACGAUGUUGUUAUAGUCACCAAGAACAACCUUCAAGGUUUCUAUUUGCUGCUGUUUAAGAUGGCCAUGGGGGUUUCUCUUCUAUCAUUUUGUGAAAUAUUUUUCACAACCAUAGGGAGGAGCUUGUAUAAGGAGUGUGUGAAGGCUCUACAAGAGGGGUAAAUGGCUGUUUACUAUCAUUUCCAUGGUUUACUCAGCCUAUAAAACAAAUAACAGUAGGCCCUUAAUGUGCUGAUAUAAUGUUUUGGCAACCAUCUUGAAGAUUGUAGUAUCCUGUAUUCAAGCAACAGAGCAAACUAGCACUGGGAAGUUUGAUAGAUAUGGAAACGGGUCUCUAUUCCUAUAUGACCGUGCUAACUUCUGGAAGAUUCUAGAAAUCUAUACAUCUGAGGGUUAUUCCGGAGAAGCAAUGAAGCCAGAUCAGAAAUAUCUUGUCCAUCAACUGCUCAACAUAAUCCUUUGGACAGUGCAAAUUUAUGGCAUAGUGCAUAUCGGCAUAUCGUAAAGACUUUCUAGAAGCUGAAGAAGAUCUAUAUACGAUUCGAGGUUCAAAUGAUCUUUCAGGCCUAGCUCCUGCAAUUGUUCAGUUAAUGUUUUUUGCUGAUGUCAUCAUAAUUUACUGGUAACAUACUAAUAGCAUAGAUUAUUUACACGUCUUUCCAUUUUUUACCUUUCUUGACUGAUAUUUUUAACUUUCACCAAUUCGUUGGAUAAACUCUUCUACUCAGUGUGCAUUGAACUGACCAAAGAUUGUCCAGCUCCUCUAAAUGAACGGUUCUAGCUCCUCCAAAUCAAUGGUUCUUAGACGACAGUCAAAUUGAAGGUUUAAAGUUGUUGCUGUAUAGUAAUAAUGAAAAUCAUAUGUCAGCAAGGAACGUUGUUAAGAAUCUAUGUGACAAACUGAAAGUAUGUGUCACAGGGAUCUGAAAAUACCUGAAAUUUGUAGAAACCAAGCUCCGUGAUGUUCUAAUAUAUAUGAAGUUUAUGACGCUCGAAAACAGUUUACAACAAAAUAUGGAAAAGAUCUCUAUCAAUCUGCUAUUUGUUGUAGUUUAGAUGUUGUUUCGUUAUUUAUUAUAUAUUUCAUAGCUAAGUUUUUUUUUUUUUUUUUUUUUUUUUUUAUCUAUUAUGAUUUCAUUCCAAUCAUCAGGGCAAAUUACAUAAGAAUAGCUAAGUUUGACUUUGACUUUACUGACAUUCUUUAAGGGAACUUUUAUCAUUUUA
rnacentral:lncRNA from 1 species